rnacentral:rRNA from 1 species
UAGUUUAUAUAAUAUUAUUUUUUUUUUGUAUAAUUUUUUCUUAGUAGUAUAAUAGAUUUUUAUUUAAUUAACUGUUAAGGUUAAUUUUUAAUUUAAAGGUUAAAUUUAUAUUACCUUUUGUAUCAGGGUGUAUUUAUUUAUUAAUUUAUUUUUUAAUCCCGAAUAUUAGAUAUUAAAUUUUAUAUAGAUUAAGUUGUUUUAUAAUCUUAUCUAAUUUAAUUAUUGUAAUUAAAUGUUAACGUUCUUUUGUAUAUCUGGUUGUUAAAAAUUUAAUUUAAUUAUAGUAUUCUUUUUAAAUUUAUUUAUAUAUAAGAAUUCUAAAUUUAUUAAGGAUAAUCUUAAUAUAAAAUUAUAAUUUUUUUGUUUAUAUUUUUAUUAUUAAUAGAAUCUUUAAUUAAGUUCUUAAUAGAUUAAUUUGUGUUUAUAUUAUUUUAUUUAAUUUAAUUUUUUAUUUAGCUUCUUUAUAUAAUUUUUGUAUUUUUUAAUAUUGAUUUAAUAAGUAUAAUUUUUAAUUUAAGUUUUAUGAAUUCAGCAUAUAUAAUUUUCAACUGUUUAUCAAAAACAUUUCCUUAUGUAUUAUAUAUAAGGUAAUUUCUGCCCAAUGAUAAAUUUUAUUUAAAUGGCUGCAGUAUAUUGACUGUACAAAGGUAGCGUAAUAAUUAGUUUUUUAAUUGGAAACUUGAAUGAAAGGAUAAAUGAAAAAUUACCUUUAUUAAUUUUAGUAUUAAAAUUUUAUUUUUUGGUUAAAAGGCUAAAUUAUUUUUUAGGGACGAUAAGACCCUAUAGAAUUUAAAAUAUAUAUUUACUGUGUUUUUUUUAGGUUAAAUUUAUUCAUUUGAUUUAAAUUUUUAAUUGGGGUGAUUGAUAAAUAAUACUUUUUUUUCUUAAUUCAUUAAUUUAUGUUAUUAUGAUCCUUCAUAAGAUUAUAAGAUAAAUUACCUUAGGGAUAACAGCGUAAUUUUAAUGGAAAGUUCAUAUUUAAAUUGGAGUUUGCGACCUCGAUGUUGAAUUAAGAUAUAAUUAAGGUGUAGAAGCUUUAAAAAUAAGUCUGUUCGACUUUUAAAAUCUUACAUGAUUUGAGUUCAAACCGGUGUAAGCCAGGUUGGUUUCUAUCUUAAAAUUUAUUUUAAUUAUUAGUACGAAAGGACCAUAAUUAAUAGUUUUUAUUAUAUUUUUUG